rnacentral:tRNA from 2 species
UUGGGAUCGUGGGUGGAGGCGUGGCGUUCGUGGCCUACUACGCCGUGGGCUCCGCGAUCUUCGCGGGAUACCUGU